ACCUCCCCGGCGCAGCCUGACGCUGUGUGCUCUCGUCCUGUCACUGGUCGCCUGGGGGAAGAGCCCGACCCUCCACCUGGCUACAACCUCCUCCCAGGAGAGAAACUUCCCCCGGCCGCUCUCCCCGGCCAUGCCCAGGCGGAGGGACAGGUGGGCAGGCACGGGCCGGCCCGUGAGGGCGGUGCCGCCGUCACCCACCGCAGCAGCCCGGUCCCGGCUGGCCCCGGGCGCCUGCGACGGAAAGUCCUGUGCUUGGGUCUGGAAUUGCGCGGGGCUGAGAGGAAAAACGCGUUAACUGCCUUGUUUAUGCAGAGGAAACUGAGAGGUGAGCUUUGUUUAAAACCCGGCUUGUCCGCCGACUUGGACGAGCUGUGCCUUUUUUGAGGUACUGAGCACAUCGUGUUCCUGUAUCUGGAGAAAAACCGCCGUCAGAAGCGAUGUGGGUGUCUGGAAUAAACCAUGAUUUGUGCUGUCUGGGCCCUUCACUGCUGCUUUGGAGUAGUAAUUGCAGUUCUUGCACAGCUGUGUAUUUUUGGCUGCUGUUUACACUGUUGAAACUAUCUCUGGUAUGCUUGUAAUUGAUUUUUGAACAGUUCCGCUUCACAAUAACAGGGACAGGUGCGUUCGGGGGGGUCAGUUGUGAUUAUCCUGCUGUAAGCCAAGUUAUGUCCCUUUUUUCACUGCUGACUGAAUUCUGGUUGGGAGGUUAAGUGAGGAUCCCGCAGGGAGAGUAGCGCAAGCAUUGGAAUAUUGUGGUUAUAGGAUGUGAGAGAGCAACCCAGAAACUUGGCUGCUAAUCUCAGGUGUUUUUUCAGUUUAACAGUGCUCACUUUUUGGAGCUGAGAGCAGAAUUUACAAUUUCUGCCUCAUCACUGCUGUUGAGUGUAACAGCUGUGUUGUUCUCUCAUUCUGGUGAAUAUUUUAGAACCCAAAGGCAAAUGCACCCUAGUGCUCUCUCUGUGUGGGACAGUCCAAGUUUAGAGCCACAGACACCGAGUAAAACCUGAGUUCAGUCAUGAAGAAAAAAGCAAGGACUCUAGGAAAAGAUAGUGCCUUUAAUCCAUGUUAUUAUGUGAAUGGGAAAGGGCUUCUUAUCUCUUUAGUCCAGGUCUACACUAAAUGUAGUCAAGUCUAGUUAAAACGCAGCAGCUUGGUGUGUUGACCUUUAUCCUGGAUGAAGGAGAAAGAUAAAUACCUUGUGCAUUUUAAUGCAUAUGUUUUUGUUAUACUGGCGUAAUGCACAUUUAGUUUUAUCAUUUUAAGAGGUCUGCCAUAACUUUAGAAGCUGAUAAACCAUCUAGACCUCAAGAAUACCCCUGGACCAGGAGGGUAAAUAUCAGAUCUGCUAUAGUGACACAAUCCAAUUCACUGUAAUGUUUCAUAUUUAGAAUAGCAUUUCUAAUAACUUUUGGGCAGCAUUACAUAGAACAAUUACACAGUGCAUCUACAGAUGAAAAAGCCCUGUGUAUAAUAACUACCAAGUGGUCUUUUGGUACUGAAAUCACAUUAAUUGUAGCUGCACUACUGGGUUUUAAUGCUUGAGCAUGGGAAGGAAAACAUGAAUUAAUUGUGUUACUGGAAGCAGAGAAAUCUGGUGCUGAAGGUAGUGCCUGUGUUGUGGGGGAACAGUGCUCUGCACUGGUAACUGGUACUGGCACCAUAUGGUUUAUUUUAUCUAUCUAUGCUCCUACCUUAUGAUAUACAUUCCUGUUCUAAUCCUUUCUCUCUUUUUUUAAAUUUUUCAUUUAUUUGAAUGUCUUUCUACUAUCAUGUGAAUAAAGAAAUUUGAUCUUGAAGAUCUCAUGUCACAUUUAAUGAAGUGCAUUCCAGUGAUGGAGGAACUAAUCAAUAGGAAUACAAUCACUUCUGAAAGAAUUACAAGUAAGUUUCACAACCUUUUUUAUGCAUUGCAAAUAAUCAAGCAAAUAUUUCAUGUAUUGGCCAACGAUUUCUUUGCAUUUUGAAUUCACUGUGUGACUAUGUAAAUAAUUCUAGGUAAACUAGUUGGAGAAAAUGCAGUUGUAGUUCUACAACAUUUAUUUUAAUAUUGUAGAUUAAAAUAUAAUUACUUUUGAAUAUCUUAUCAAUUUAGAAGAAAAGCCUUCCAGGGAAAGAGGCAAAUUCUUUCUUAACAAGUGUUUCUAAACAAGUGUUACUAGAGAGGUUUAUGUACUGUGUUUAGCCUUUUAAUUUUUUAAGAUGUUCAGACAUUUGUGAAAUUCCAUGUAAAUCACACAGUCUAAGAGUGGUCAAGAGAAAAAAACACAGUGCUGACUUCAGGGGAGCAGAAUGAUGGUCCCCAAGGUGGGGUGUGAUACACUGCUGUACCACUGCAAUUCAUAAAGUCAGUAGCACAAUAUAGGACAAAUAUCUGAUUUGAAAUGCUAAUUACAUUUUACAUUCGGCUUUGUUUGCAGCUGAUUUCUUACUUCCUUGUACCUUGUUUGUUCUCAACCUUGCUCCUUAAUAGAAUAUCCAGGUAUGUAUCAUUGUCUGAAGACUGCUCAGAGAGAGCUGUGGUAACUCCCUUGCUGUCCCCUGCACAAGGCUUUGAUCCAAGUGGGAUCCCAGUUGGGUAACAUUUCAGCAUGAGGGCAACGUAUCUGGUACUUUUCAAAAUCUGUUGUGUUUGCAAACUCCACUGUUGGUCUUGAAUGGCUUUUUGUCAUCAUAAAUCAAAAUAAUAGAAAAAAUUGCUGAUAGUGACAGGUCUUCCAUUUUGUGUCUUUCUCAACUAGCUUGUGGACUGCAAAGAGGUUCCUGAAAUUCAUGCCUUGAGGUCUUCUGUAAGGAAAUUUGCAAUAAGAAAGGCUGCUUGUUUUAUAACUCCAUCAUUUAGGAGGUGAUGUGACUGACUCGAAGAGUUGGUGACUGAUUUGCCUGUGUAAACUUGCUUAAAGCAGAGGCAGUGAAUUCAUGUUGAUUUCAGUUUGAGGAAUAUAUUUAUUUUAAGGGAAAUUACAUUGUUUUUCUUUCUGUGGUACACAAAAAUUAGCAUCUGAUUUAGUGAAAGAAAAAUUAACAUGACAGAGAUGACAACUGAGUAUGUGGCAGGGACACGUGCUGUUGUGGGAAGCUCCUGCAGUGGGGCACAUCAGUAGUUUUCAAGUUGGGAAAGCAGCUCUGCUGAGAGGGGAGGGCUGGUUUAUAGUGAGAUCAGGUUCCUGUUAUAAUAACGAGUCACAGCUCCCGGCAGCACUAGAGGGUGCUGGAGGAACGACUGCAACAUUAACAACUCUGUGUUGGAAAUCCAGAAUCCCAGGAAAGUCGAGUUUAGUGCCCCUUAGAGGUCUCAGCUCCAACCCAGCCUUGCCAUAAACAGCACACUCAUGUUCUCCUGCUGGAUCCACUGUAAAGGGAAGGCAGUCACCUGGAGGGACUCCAUUGUGUGACACACUCCAUUUCCUUAGGACUGGUCAACAGGUGAUGGCAUCUUGUGUGUGACACUGUGAAAGCAUCAAUGGGUCACCAAAAGGAAAAAAUACAAGAAUGAAACUGUACAUGCUCAUCUCAAUUACAAGAACAUUUAAUAUUACAGAGUUCUUGGUUUUUAAAGAGUGGCUGUUAGCAAGCAAGGAUACAGUUUGAGAGGAGUGGGAAUAAAAUGAGCCUCAAUCCUAUUUACCUCAAGCAGCUGCUGAAUCUCCAGAGUGUCCUGUUCCAUAAGCAGCUGCAGAGUGGAUUUUUUUGAACAGUUGUAUUGAGUUUCAUAGCAAGGAAAACUGUUUUGUUGACAAGUGGUUGUUACCAUGAUCUCUACUGAAAGUAAGAUGUCAGAAGGAAGAGCGAGUCCAAAUGUCUUUCAGAGUUGUGGGGUAUCUUUUUAGGCACAAUGUUUUUAGCAUUCUAAGUAAAUGCUGCUGCUUUAAACAGGCUAAAACUAAUAUAAACAAACUGAACUGAAGGCUUGUAGCUGGUAGAAAGAAGUCAGUCAUGAUGAAAUAGCUUUGUAUUUUAAAGCCUAAUGAACUGACAAGUGUAAAUUAACAGGAGAAUAUCUCCUAGCUUACAUGCAAGUAAAAGGUGGUGUGAAGUGUUGUUUAGUCAUGACGCCCUCCAAAUUCUCUCCUGCCUAACCCAGACAUGGCUGUCCAGUUGUAGGGCUGCCCAUUUCACAUUCUUAAUCCAUAGGCACUAAUUCUAACUGAAGGAUCUUAUAGGAAGUGGUAUGCACAUCCAGUAUAUCUUUUACAUACCCUUUCCCCAAAGUUUACUAGAACUUGGUAUCUGAUGGAGCAAAGACUGUCUUUGGGUUUAGAUUCAUGUUGCCUAUAGCAGUUGUUGCUAUCAUUCAUGUUGCUAAUGUUUUGUAGCUUUUAUUAGGACAUCUUUUCUGGAGGCUGCAUGUUCCAUUGGCACCUGAUCCACACAGUGUACUUGGAGGGCACUGACAGAGUAAGAGUUCAUAGGGAUAAACAGCUGAUUUCAUGGCUUAGAAGGAAGGUGGUGUUCCAAUGAACUAAUAAGGGUAGCACCAUAUUUUUGCAAGCAAGUUGCAAUGUCUUUGCUGUCUUCAAAUAAUGCCAGAUCUCAAUGAGAGAUCCCAGCACAAGUAGCUGCAUGAACUUCUGGACUUAAUUCAUGAUAUCCUUGAAAUGUAUUCUUGCAGAAAGAACCUGAUGUUGUUCACCUCAAACCAUGCUUGAGGUCCAUCUAGACCAGAACACUGUAAUACACCCCUACUUUUAGAAGUCACUAAAGUGGUGGAGCUUACCAGGUGUUUGAUACAGUUUAUUAGUUAAAUGGAGGUGAGGGAAAACAUGGUGUGGGAUGGAAGCAUUAAUUUGGGUUACCUUGGUUACCUGGGUGUUCAUGAACACUAAGUCUGCCUCCUGUUCCAAAUUAUACUUAAAUCUCAUUUUUCUCUCUGUUGGACUAAAAUGUCUUGUUUUUAUGAAUAAACACCUUGGGUUGUACUAUUUUAGAACAUCUGGGGAAGUUUAUGCCAAUUGAAAUUCUUUAGACAUUGUGGUGAAAGUAAUCUGAUUUACCUGGUUUUCCAUACUUGUUAUUCCUGUGAGAGAGGAUCUUCCUGAGAUACCUAUCCCUCUAAAUUCUUUCCCCAGAAAAAAAUAUCUAGUUGGAAUUAUUUGCUUGUUUUUCUUGGUUCCAUUUCAUUUUCAUUUCAAUGCUGUCUCUUACAGGUUUAUGCAACUUUGUGGAAGAAACUGAAUCAUAAGCCAAAAUAAAAUGGAAUAAAUAUGAAAGUUCUGUGACAAACUCCUCUGUUUGAUAUGGACUGAAGUCAACAAAAAUAUUUUUCUCUGCAAUAUACUAUCUACACUUCAAUUGUAAGCUGGGCUAUUUGCUGCCUUGGAAGUCCAAAGGAAAUAAAUAUAUUUUAUGUUUA